rnacentral:rRNA from 1 species
UACGUAGGGGCGCAACGUUUGCCGGAAUUAUUGGGCGUAAAGAGCUCGUAGGUGGCUUGUCACGUCUGCCGUGAAAAGCCCCAUGGCUUAACUGUGGGGUCUGCGGGUGGAUACGGGGCUGGCUAGAGGUAGGUAGGGGCAAGCGGAAUUCCUGGUGUAGCGGUGAAAAUGCGCAGAUAUCAGGAGGAACACCGGUGGCGAAGGCGGUUCUCUGGGGAAUAUCCUGACGCUGAGGAGCGAAAAGUGUGGGGGAGCGAACAGG